UGAUGGCGCGCGGAGGCGGCCGCGGAGACGCCUCCCCUGCAGGCCUGGCGGGAGUCGCGCGGGAACAACUGUCAACACCUUGUUCUGCCAGAGUUUUAUCGCAUCCGAAUUGCCUCCGCACCCCCGAGGGCGGCUUCGGGAUUCGAGCCCACCGCCGCCCGCUCCGCGCCUGUGACCUACUGAGGCGUGGUCUGGACCGGUGUUACAGGGCCCUGCUUAAUCUGAGGAUACUGCACAAUAGAGCUCGCUGGUCCGAGGAACUCUCCCCUCCCACCCCUGGUGAUGAAAGGAAAGGAAUACAAAUGCCAAUCUCCAGAGGAAAGAAAGCAACGAUACAGAAAUGAGGGAAGUAAGAAAGCAGAAAGAUCAUAAUCAAACCCUGCUAACCAUGAAAGCAGUUUUCUCAAUUUUGACUGAUAUUCACAUUGGAAACAAAUAGCCAGGAUUAUACAAAUUCUUAUCUGACUAGCUAUAACUCCUAUCAACCACUCUCAAAAAAAGAAAAAAAAUCAGAUUGCACGUUCAUGAAAAUGAAGAUAUUAUGGGACCACAAAUAUUGCAUGUGAUGACAAACUUCUAAUGAGCUGCAUUAAACUUUUUCAUCAAAUGUAUUCACUAUGGAUUUCCAGUGCUCAAUUGAGAUAUCAAGCUGCUAUGUUGUGAACUGCCUAUGGAGAGGACCAUGUGGCAAGAAACUCAGGUGGCAUCUAGAAAAUGAAAAGAGCCUCUGGAUGACAGCCAGCAAAAACCUCAAGUCCUGAGUCCUACAGCUGCAAGGAAAUGGAUUCCGCCAAAAAUCUCAGAGAAUCUGGAAGCAGAUUCUUCUUCACUUGAGCCUCUAAAUGGGAACAGAACCAACCCAAAACAGUCCGUGUAGCGGGGAGAGACCCAAAAGUGGAAACCCCAACUAAGCUGUACCUGGACUCUUAACCUAUACAAAAACAGAAAUAAUAAAGUGCGUUGUUUUAAGCUGUUAAAUUUA